GAUGAACGCUAGCGACAGGCCUAACACAUGCAAGUCGCGGGGCAGCAUGACAUCAGCUUGCUGAUGUUGAUGGCGACCGGCGCACGGGUGAGUAACGCGUAUCCAACCUGCCCUUUACUAUGGGACAGCCCGUCGAAAGGCGGAUUAAUACCGUAUGUUGUCAUGUUGAUGCAUAUUUUCAUGACCAAAGGCUUCGGCCGGUAAAGGAUGGGGAUGCGUCUGAUUAGCUUGCCGGCGGGGUAACGGCCCACCGGGGCGACGAUCAGUAGGGGUUCUGAGAGGAAGGUCCCCCACAUUGGAACUGAGACACGGUCCAA
rnacentral:rRNA from 1 species